CUCUAAAAACUAGGUGCGCCUUAUGGUCAGGUGCAUCUUAUGGAGCUAAAAAUACGGUAUGUAUUAAAGUGAUGAAGGUACAGUGAGGGGGGAAAGUAUUUGAUCCCCAGCUAAAUUUGCCCCUUUGCCCUCUGACAAAGAAAUGACCAGUCCGCAAUUUUAAUGGUAGGUUUAUUGUAGCUGUGAGAGAUGGAAUAACAACAGGAAAACCCCCAGAAACCCAGAAGACAAAAGUCAGAGAUUGAUGUGUAUUACAAUGAGUGAAAUAAGUAUUUGAUCCCCUAUCAACCAGCCAGAUGUCAGGCUACCUGGUAUCUUCACUGUUUGUAACGAGCUGAGAUUAUGUAACCUUUAUGGUUAAAAAGGAUUUCUCUAAGUGCACCCUUAGAAAGUAUUUAUGAGGUAACAGAUAAUCCCAAAUGGUGGGAAAUUCUAAACGCUAAGGGAUAUCAUAUAGUUAAAGGUAUGUAUAGAGGAGAGUCCUAAAAGUCAUUGCAGGAAGUAAUAGAGAAUAUAGGUAACCAAUAUUGGUUAAAAACUGGAGGACUAUACAACAAAAUUUCCAAAGUCCAAGAGACAGGAAAUAGGAGUUUAGAAGAGCCAAUAGAGGAACUAUACAAACAAAUGGAAAAAAUGAAACAAGGAAUGAUAAGUAAAAUCUAUAAGAGAAUGAUUACAAAUAAUGAACAGACAACCCAACUUAUUCAAAAGAUG